CUCUGAGUCCUCAUCUGGGGAGUCUCCUGCACCCCAGACACAAAAAAAACGAGUGGAACCAGAAGCGGGCAGUUUUUUUAUUUUUUUGGAAAGCGUCUUCGGCCGACCAUGACUGUUAAAGUGAAAGUUACGAAAUAUCCGCUGCAGAUUCAUGGCGUCACGAGGCUCUGAUCUUUUAUUAAAGUUAGAUUUCGUGCCAGAAAAUUUAGGAGCAUAAAUAUACGAUGAUUACCAUCUGAUUAUCAGUGGUAAUUGAGUGUUGGUGGCGGACACCCCCGGCUGCUGCUGUUCUGUGUGUGUGCGUGUCCUCCCCAGGACUGCCAGCUGGGAUGGCGGACACCCCCUCCCCCAACAGCGGCACUCAGAAUAUCCAGGUCUCCGCCCCCAGUAUCGUGCCCCACUGCGACUGCGCUCAGAUAUGCAGCUUGCGAGGGCAGCGACUGGCCUGCUGCCAGUUUCUCACCCGAUGAUACUGGCGAGGGUGUAUCCGCCAUUGCUGACAGCUACUCCUCACUUGACCGGCCGCCAUUCCACAUCUCCAGCUGCGUGUGCCCCCCCCCCAGAGCCCACAGGGGGGUAGGGCUGCCUCGGCAGGUGAAAGCUUACCACCCCCUACUGGCGGUACGCAGACCUAGCCGCGGGGGGCGGAGGGGGGUGUUUCUUUCUGUGAGGGGAAGGCAGAAUUCUUCUGUUUAUUUUUAAAUGGGCGGCAGCAAUGCGCCAGGUUGGCACUGAAAGAUGGGGCCCUGCUUGGGGGGGCACGGGGCGUGGCAAUGCGCUGUCAAGCUCCUGGUUGGUAUACCACUGUCCUCGGGUUUCCUAUAAAAGUCAGAGGCACUCGGAAAGGGGAGCGGGCCCCCCGAGCCAGUUAGGGGAGACCGAUAACCACGGAAACCGGGAACCAACGGCUGGGGGUGGGCACAGAGGGGCUCUGGGGGCACAGCGGUUAGUGGCCUUCACGGGGGUGUCUGGUAGGAUGUAUGUCCCUAUGUUCGCGUUUAGCGUAUGAAGACUACAAGCCAGAAACGUCAGAAUCGGCCGUGCGUGGAGGCUAUGCUGAGGGGGGGGGCACACACACACCCCCUCCCCACCCAGACCAGCUGGCUUGGAUCCUCGUCCAUGACGAAUCUCGUCAUUACUGACCAGCUCCAGCAGCAGCCCUGACAGUAAACGUCGCUCGCUUUUAAUUUAGGCUACUGACUUCCCUCCCCCGCUGCAGCGUUCGAGGGUGUGAAGAGCAUAUCUUUCAUCUACCGCCCUCACCUUGAUCCACCGUCGAGAGACAGUCGCCUUCCCGCGGCUGUAAUGCUAUUAUUCGACACCACCCCGCUAAUCUAAAUAAAUUUCUGCCUGUUCGUACAGGCAGAGUCUCGCCAUAGAGAUCCUUCUCGAACACCUUGCCGUAAAACACCAAAAAUAGCGCGGCCAGGACCGAGAGCCAGGCGUUCAUGCACCAGGCCGGGUGUCUCCAGAGCCGCCGCCCCACGUUCACGCUCAAAAAGGGAAACUAAGCGGCACCGCAGUGAAGGAUAAGUAGCACAUGGAAAUCAGGCUGCUUCCCCUACUGCCGACGUUAACGUGCCUGACGUGGGCCGCCUCUGAUGGCCGGCCAGAAAUGCUGUCACACCUGGAGUUCGCUUCACUGCAGCAAAUUUUGAAAGAUCGAGAUUUUCAAUAAGAUCCCUUUAUCCAUAUCUUGUGACCAUCUCCAGCUCUUGUAUAAUUUUACUGUUAUAUUAAUAUAUAGCCUCUAUUUAUUGCUUUCUUAAUUCUUAAAAUAAUCAAGCACCGAAAUCGGAUGUCUUACAGUAUGAAGCAUCGUUUGAGCUGUUUGACGUUGUUUCUGGGGAGUCGUUUCCCUGGCUCACUGUCCGUUAUAUUUGUGUGAGUUCCUAAACGCGUUCGGGGAAACCCAGGUCACCAGCAGCCACCCGCUUGCCUCUUUGUAGUCGUCAUGGUCUGCCAUUGAGACUCUACACUUUGCUCUUUACAUUUUCCAUCUCCGCAAUGAGUCUAAGUAUUGUUCCUCUCCUAUUUAAUCAGUGGCAGGUUUUAUAGACGCAAACCUGGCCGUAUAACUUAGCGAGGUGGGGAUCUGUGACUCUUUCCAGAAGGUUGUGGGUUUGAAUCCCAUGACAGUGCCGCUGGGCUGUUCAGCAAGGCCCGUAACUCCAGUUGCUCCGGGGUGCUGGCUGACCCCGCUCACUGAUCCCAAGUCUUUCUUCCUUGUGCAUCACUCUGAACACAUGGGUUUGCUAAAUAAAAUACAACAAUGCCAGAGCUUUGCGAACGUCUCUCCGAGCUUUGGGUGUGAAGGGUUCGAGAGGUGUGAAAAAUGCAGGGGUGCCUAACCAGGGCUUGGUUGGCCCAGAGUAAUUCAACAAAGAGCCGGAAUUGCUUGUUUGUAAGCAAAAGUGGCACUAAAGUGGCUUAAGGAGUCCGGUAGGUCAUUACAUUUUUUUUUAAACACCGUCGGAAAAAUACCUGCAUUGUGGAGAGCUAGCAGGUCACGAAAAGCAUUUGUGAUUUUAUUUUUCUCUGCUUGUUGCAGAUAAUUUUUCAUUUUACUGUAUAAUUUAAAUUUGAUGUUGCCAGUUAUAUCAAAAAUAGAAUAAGAGAAGUAGGUAUUAGGUAGGUGAUUUCAUGAUGUCACGCUAAUGAAACCUGAAAUUGAAUAUGUAUUGAGGAGUUAAUUACUAUGUGAGUGUGUGUUUUGCGUUUGGUUUAACGUGGGUUAUUUUCUGAAUUUGCGAUGGUGACCCAGAGAACGUCCUAAAAACCUGCCUAUUACUAAUUGAUGUCCCAUGAAAAUUUUAUCUAUGUUGGAAAGGUUAACAAAUAUCAUUAAUUAUUUGGACAUUGAUACAUUUAUUUAGAUCUGUAGUUAAUUGUAUUUAGGUGUAAUGCUGGUCAGCAUCAUUGCUAAUAAUGAUUGCCUAUUCCAUCUUUAAUAGCUAAUAAGUCCCUCUUUCUUUUACGAUACUUAAAAAAAUUUUAUGUAAAGCCUUAAAGUUUUCUGACUGAAAGUGCAUUUUUGAGAGAAUAUGGCUGUCUGUGGAUGUUCAGAAAAGUGGACUUUGGUGCAACGUAUCUCCCAGAACUCAUGAAGUCCUCAAUUGAAAUAAAAUAAAAUAAAAUAAAAUGGUGCUUUAUUUGGCAUUUACACAAGUACAAUUGCAGGUACAUUGAAAUGCUUCUUUUCACAUAUGCCAUCUUGCCAUCUUUUUUUUUUUUUUUGAGUUAAUUCAUAUUAAUUAGUGCAAAAUGUCCUUGCUGAUUGAUAAUCCCAAUACAGUGGUGAAAAUACUGUCAUAAUAUUUAAUUACAGUCACAGGUGUUAGUGUAAUAUCUUCGUUUUUGUGCUGGGUUAUCUAGAACAAAAGGAGAAAUCCGCAAAACGGGAGAGGUUAUGGAAAAAGCUGCAUGUCAUGGCAGUGAGACUGCAGUGAAACUGCAGUGGAACUGCGGCAACGCGAGAGCAGGGCUGACGACUUUCGUGAGUAAACUUCUCCUUCGGGAAGAGAAGCAAACUCCCUUUUCCCAAAAACUUACCAUGCAGAAAGUUGUACAGUAUGAGAAGGAGGUUUAGGCAGCAGUUUGUGAUACUCAGGCUCUGUCCUGGUCCUGAAAUGCUUCACAAACGCGAACUCUGGGAGGGUCAGAGCAUGCGGUCCCUCGCUGCUCGCAAAGGGCCGUUACGGUGCUUCGGGAGGUGAGUUUGAAACAAACGCAUUUCACCUUAGAAAAGUCGUAUACUGACAUGUAUUUUAAAAAUGUAGAAUGUGCAUGUGUUUGCCAUAUAUAUAUAUGUGUGUGUGUGUGUGUGUGUGUGUGUGUGUGUGUGUGUGUGUGUGUAUGUAUGUAUAAUUACCAAGUUGUUUAUUCCUUGGUAACUUUAGAUGGGAGAAUUGUGAGUGUUAAAAAAAAAAUAAAAUUUGAUUUUUAGGAGAGCUGAGUAAAUAAAAAGCUUGAUCCAAUUUGUACAUAUUUAUUAUACCUUCUGUUCUUCAAAAAACUAAGCCAGCUUCCUGUCUGUUUUACUGCUUUACUGUGAUCUUCUGAAUGUGUGCAUUGAAGUGGCCUUGUUCAUUUCCAUUAUAGGGCCAUGAAUCCCACAAAUCAAUUGCAGCUAUCCCAAAAGUCUAUGCCCUGAAAAUAAGCCUUAACCUUAAAACACGAUUAAACACUUAAAACUUUGUGAGUUUGUUCAUUAUUUUAUUAGUUUUCAGCAGCUUUGUGCUGCGAUUAAACAAGCAUUUUCUGUUUCUAAACAUUUUCAGAAUAUGUCAAAAUUUCCUUCGUGAAAUAAACUCAAAACCUGUCAGCAGUGUAGGUCUUACUUUGCAUCAAUUUAGAUGUAUAUGAGUGUGAUUGUUUCAGAUUUUUGUGUCAUUUGCAGUUUUUUAAAUAAUGCUCGGUGGGUGCUAUAAUUAAGGGCUUCUGAUAAACAUGCUGCUGUUUAAGAUUUAUGUAAUUUCCCAGUCACUGUUUGUUCUGGGUUCUGCUACACUAAGUAGUGUAUUUUCUGGAAUAAUGAAGAUGCUGAACUUUGUUAGUUAAAAUUCUUUAACUGUAUUUUACAUACAUCUUACCAUGUUCAUGACCGAACACAUGAUUAUAUUAUUUGAUACAAAUGGAGAAGUAAAAUAGCUCAGAAUUAUUCAGAUUCAUUAGCAGUAGCUUGUUUCGUUAAUAUGUCCUAAAUAUUUAUUAAAUUCAGAUGCAUCCCGCUGCACUGUCUGCUUCCACGUAUUAUACGUGGCUUACGAUGAAUUGCAACUUCUAAACAGGAGAGAAUUAUAAUGUGUAAAAAACCGAUAAUCAAAUUAUUUCACAAAUUAUAUCACAAUUUUUUUCUAAUCUGGGUUAAAAUUGUUAGAAUUGAUCUGUUUCAUUUGAAAUUGCAUCUUUUAAAAUAGUUUACACUCAUUUUUAUUAUAAAUGAAAUACACGGUUAAAUUUAAUAUUCCGAAUGCAUUGUGCGGAUGUAUAGCAGAUUGGAGGUUAAAAUGAAACACACCUUACAAACACCAAGCUCUGCUGACACAUCCUGUAAGUGUGGAAAAAUCAUGUAUAGUUUUAUUCUUGGUUCAUUAAUAGAUUUCAGCUUCACUUACUGUUACAGUAUGUAUCUAUUCAAAAUGUUUAUAAUUUGUUUUCAAAAAUAUUACCUCACCAUAUAAAUGUCAGACAGGGUGUGCCGAAAUAACAUAGAUAAGCCACAGUAUUAUAGACAAUCUGUUUUAAAAAUGAAACAUUCCACUGUGUAUUUGUUCCAUUAUCUGGGUGACAUGUGACAUGACAUUAUUAUGAUCGAUAAAUUAUGAUGCAGAAAUUUUACUUUUGGAAACUCCCGUAAUUUUUUAUUUUUAACACAUUGGUGCAGACGUAGCAUAAGUCAGUUUGUGUUUUCCGGUCUCAUGCGUAAAUUGAAUGGUGUGUAGUUAUGUAUUAUAAUUAAUUGUGUUUUAGCUUGGCUCGUGUGCCCUGUUGUGAUAAGUACUUUGGUUAGUGAGUAAACUAUAUAUGCAAAGUAACUAAAAUUAUUACUUUGUGUUAUUCAAAUACAAUUAUACAAUUAUAAUGUAAGUAAUUAAGUAUAUGUUCAUAUUUCUCUAUAUUGACUUAAAAGAACAUAAAAACCUAAAUAUGUUAGAAUUUAAUAAUAUUCUUGUGUGUGAUACUUUUAAUUUCAUUGUGUUUUCUACAUGCAAAAUUACAAGUGAAUAUUUUGCAUAUGUCCUUAAUUGGGUAUUUAGAUAGACGUUUUCCUUUUUAAAAUGCAUGCUAAAUUGUUAUUAGACGGGGAUGUAAGAAUAUCAUAGAUGUGGUCUUUUUUUAAAUAUUGUUCUGUAUAUUCAAUAAGGAAUAAUCCAUUUCUCAAAGCAUGCAUGGUAUUCAGCUUUCUUUUUUGUUUGAAUCUGAGAAAUCUUUCUAAUUUAUAUUAGCAAUUCAUACCAGUCAGAGUUGUACUUAAAAUUUGCCGUUCGUUUUGACAAGGGGGGGGUCAAAUGUCCUUUAAGAUGAAUUUGUUCCUUUAUAAACAGAAUGGGAGUUUAAUAUUUCUUAUAUAUUAAUUAGUUAUUUUUAUUUUCCAGUGUCUUAAUAUAUUUUUUAAUAAGAGCAUUUUAGAAAUUAAUCGUAAUUUCUAUUACGAUUAAUUUAUUACGAUUCUAUUACGAAAUUUGCAUUCAAGCAAUUUUGUGAAAAUUUUGAAAAAAUAAACAUUUUGUUGUGAAAUUCUGCCAAAAAAGCAUAAGUGUAAUAUAUAAAGUAAGAACAUCAGAAUCUUUUUGUUCAUGGGAGCAGACUUUUCAGCAGUUGUGUGUUCAUAUGGAUUCAUGAAUUUUCAGAAUCGUAUUGUAUAUAUUUUGGCUUAAUAUUAGUUUAUGAGUUAUGUUAGAUGUUUUUUAGUAAUUGUCUUUUUUUUUUUUGGCUAACGUGGUAAACUUAGUUUAAAAAUGCUGUGAAGAGCAUAAAUUGAUGGUUUGUGACUAUAUUUUUAGGUUUCUCUCUGUGCGGGUUAAAUUUUAUAUGCUUUGAUUUUGCUGCCAGUAGGUUAUUUAAUAAAUAUUUGUAUAAGCUCAUUUGUGAUCUUACAUUAUCCCCAUUAUUGCUUAACAUUGUUUUUUUCAGAAUUCUUUUUUUCUGAAAACGGAGACCGAACACACAAUGUAAACUUUUUUAACGUAGAUUUUUUAUGUAUUUUUUUUUACCGAAGCUAUUUUUAGCUUAUUACAGUGUUAUCAGAGACUGCCAUGUUGUGCUUCAAAUGCUGUGUCCUCCAUUUUGUGAUCGGGAUCAUUUCUCCUCCACCCUGUCUGAAACGUCAGUGAACUGUUAUGCCAACUCCCCCCCCCCCCCCCUUCCCCGAUUCCAAAACUUACUUUCUCAUCAAUGAAACAAGCUGUGAAGUCAUUUUUAUUACCUGUUUCAUAACAUAAAAGCCCAUCAAGCCCCUUUUAUAUUCUUCAUUUGGAAGGCGAGUGCUUUGCGAUGCAUGUGAUGUGAUUGCUUUCGCCAGUCCUUUUACAUUUCGUGCUGUUUGGCUUUUUGAAUUAUUCUGCCUUGUGUUGCCACCGUGUUUCACUGUCCUUAUUGAGAAAGAUGUCUUACCUUAUUCCAGUUACGUGCUGCUUUUAUCGUUGACUAUGUUGUGUUUGUUUUCCCCUUUGAUCUGCAGCUACCUGUAUAUAUCAGCUGUAUAUAAUCGAUCUAUAUGGAUAAUUAAUUAAUUGGA